AGAGGUUGACAGCCAGAGUAACAAAGAGUGAGGGAGGGCUAAUAAUUUACUUCCUAUACUCCACACUCUUCUAGGUGAAGAGAAACGGAUUCGAGAAUUUUACCAGUCCCGAGGCUUAGACCGGGUCACCCAGCCCAGUGGGGAAGAGCCAGCCCUGAGUAACCUCGGCCUCCCCUUCAGCAGCUUUGACCACUCUAAAGCCCACUACUAUCGUUAUGAUGAGCAGCUGAGCCUAUGCCUGGAACGGCUGAGUUCUGGCAAAGACAAGACUAAAAGCAUCCUGCAGAAUAAGUAUGUCCG